GAUGAACGCUGGCGGCGUUCUCAACACAUGCAAGUCGAACGAUGUGGCGAACGGGCGCGUAAUACGUGAGUAACCUGCCCUCCUUUUUGGGAUAAGCCUUGGAAACGGGGUCUAAUACCGAUUAAAGGGGGAUGGCCUCGCGGCCUUUCAGCUUGUUGGUGGGGUGACGCCCUACCAAGGCGGUGACGGGUAGCCGGCCUGAGAGGGUGACCGGCCACGUUGGGACUGAGGUACGGCCCAGGGUCGUACGGGAGGAGGCAGUGGUGGAUAUUGCGCGAUGGUGGAAAGCCUGAUGCAGCGACGACGCAUACGGAAUGAAGGCUUUCGGGUUGUAAACCUCUUGCGCUAUCGAACGGGUAGGUUGGGAAGAAGCGCCGGCUAACUACGUGCCAGCAGCCGCGGUAAUUC
rnacentral:rRNA from 1 species